UUCUCCCUCAAACGGUUUGAAGGUUAGAGAUCCCUUGUUGCGCAUUCACUUGCCUCCAUGGCUAAAUGGCUUAACCCCAACUAUGCUGUGGACACCCGCGAAUGGAGUGACUUUGACAUAAUCAAAGAUCAAGGACCUAACCACAAGACAACUAUGAUGCCUCAGGUCAAAUGACCACUUUGCAUUAUCCCAACCAUGAGUUAUCAUGUGACAUGAGUAUGAGAACUCAUCGUUGAUCGUGUUUAGUGGACUCAUUCGCUAUUGAGCACCUACAUGCUUGUCUUGGUGUCAAUCACACGAAUGACUCGAGACCAGUUACUCUCCAUGAGAGAAGACACAUCACGUACUGAUCUUAACGGACUGUCAAUGCCCAAUUGGCAAUCCUAUGAUCAUGAACGUUUAGGAUAUGUAUACGAAAGAGAAUGGUCUCAUAAAUCUAACUUGUUUAAAUUACAUUCUCCUAAUUACAUAUUUCUUGGACUUAUCGUUUAAGCAUAUAACAUUUAUAUGAGACGGCUUAAAACAAUAAUCUUUGCCCUUGAUAUUAAACUAGAUUAGUUUAACAAGUGAAAUGUCUGUAAAGUAUCAUCACAUGAUUGGUUUUAGGGCACAUUUCAAACAAUCUCCCACUUGCACUAGAGCCAAUCAGCUUGGUCAUCAGUGAUGAUACCUUUUCUUUAGUCAUUUCAAAAAUGGCUAAGUAGUAGGCCUAGACAAUGGAUAUCUAUAUGUUAUCCAUAGAAGCAACCUUGAGAAUAACGACGUCACCAUUAUACAUGAUUCUCAAUCAUGUGGUUCAGUCUCUCAUUUGAGUUCGGAUCUUGAUGAGACCUUGAUUCCCUGGCUUGAGCUAUCUCCUCAUUAGUGUCGUAGUAUCAGUACACUAGAGACACUUUCUGGUUGGAACCGAAUAGAGAGUUCAUAAAUGAACUUUCCCAUCCAAACAACAUUGUUGUAAGCUUCUUUAAGGCAAUAUAUUUUUGCAUUCAUAAUGGAACACACUAAAGUCAUUACUUUUAAUGUUUCCAUCCAAAUAUCUCUUUAGUCAUAAUAAAGAGAUAUCUGAUUAUCUCUUCAUUCAUAAUGAAGAAACAUCCAAUGAUGGAUUAGAUUCAUAAUCUAAUACAUUUACGCUUCCAUUACGUUACUCUAAUUCUUCCUCAUUCUUUGAGGAAUCUAUCCUUUAGUAUUUCUUAAAUACUCAAGGACUCACUUGACAGUUGUCAUGGUUCUGAUCCUGGGCUUGCACUAAUAUCGUCUUGUACCUUUCUAGGUACAUCUCAUAUCAAUGUUUUCAUACAAUAUGAAAUACAUAAAUCACUUUUCUGCGUAUGCAUAAAGGAUUCUAUUUACGCAUUAUUUCUUUGGGAGUCAAAGGGUACGUUCCCUUUGGGAAUGGCAACUUGCUAGUCUUACUAGAGUCGUCCUUCUAAUUGAAGUUUAUCAUCAUAUGAGAAACUUCCUAGCAUCUUUUGUCUAUUAUUAGGGAUUGAUAUAAUCAAAUUAUAUCUUGAAAUCUAUCAUUAUAGAUUUACAUCCCAUGUUUAUAGACUAUGUCUCCCAUAUACAUUCUAUCGUUAUAGAAUGUUUAAAGUCAUAACUUUAACGAAGAAGUAUUCUUUUCAUUUCCAAAAUUAAUAUAUCAUAUAUAUGUAUAUAUAUAUAUUCAAAUUUAGGAACAUGAUUAACUCCCACUAAUCUUUUGUAAACCUAGUAAACAAAAGAUUCAUUUACAUCUUUAUGAGAAAUCAAACAAUUUGAUAUUUCUCUCAUAAGACGCUUAUAGCUCCCACUAGCUUGCUAAGAUCCAUGAUGGAUGGAUCUCUACAACUUACAUGUCUUGUGAUUCAUAGUUUUAGACAUCUAUUAUCAAGACUAUCUUAAUAAUGGUUUCAGAAACCCAUAGUAUGUCCAAACAUUGAAUCACCAUUUAGUUGUAGCUAGCAAUCUUUGAAUUAAUUGAAACCAAGACUACGUCAAAGAUGGUUUCUUCCAAGUCAACCAAUCCCUUUGAUUGUAGUCACCUUAAGCUACCAAUUAGCUAUGAAGGUUUCAUUAUUUCUGGUCAAAUGGUACUUUACCAUUUCCUUGAGUAUAUAUCGUAUAUACACUCAAUGCAGUCAUAAGGAUUUUUCAUUCUUAUUUCUUUCGAAUUAAGAGGUGCAACUCUAUGACAUAGUCAUAAAGUUCAAACCAUUCAACUGAGACGGUUUAUAAAUCCUUCUCGACUACCUUGGAGCUUGUGGUAUAGGAACUAGGUUGUUAUAUUUGUUGAUCACUAUCUUGUUUCUCAAAGAACCCAUUCUUUGAGUUCUAUCCCUCGUUCAUUUGCUCUUAGGCAAACCAUAUUGUAGGAUUACAAUGAACUACCCAACAAACAACAUUUGUUAGUUGGUUUAUAGAAGUGAUAUCCAAAUGUUAAUAUAAGGAUACCCACAAGAUAAUUUCUUUAAACAAAUAUUGCUUAUUUAGCACACAACCCCAAAUCUUAACACGAUUAAGACUUGUUUUUCUUUCCAACUACAUCAUAUGGAGUCAUGAAAAUUUUGGAAGAUCUUCUAAUUGACAAUCAUAUUGUCUUUAGAAGUAUAUAUCCUAUAUAUGGGUAAUUGAUAACAUCCAACGAACUAAAUCUCAUUCAAGUUCAUUCUUCUCUUAAUGGAGAAAUCCAUUAUCAUAUGAUGCUUCUUUCCUUGAUAUCUUUCAAGGAAACUGUUCUAAAGUGUUACCUUCCCUUGGAUCAAAUCUAA
rnacentral:lncRNA from 1 species